rnacentral:rRNA from 1 species
GAUGAACGCUGGCGGCGUGCCUAACACAUGCAAGUCGAACGGAGUCGUUUUGGAAAUCUCUUCGUAGAUGGAAUUCUCGACUUAGUGGCGGACGGGUGAGUAACGCGUGAGCAAUCUGCCUUUAAGAGGGGGAUAACAGUCGGAAACGGCUGCUAAUACCGCAUAAAGCAUUAAAUUCGCAUGUUUUUGAUGCCAAAGGAGCAAUCCGCUUUUAGAUGAGCUCGCGUCUGAUUAGCUAGUUGGCGGGGUAACGGCCCACCAAGGCGACGAUCAGUAGCCGGACUGAGAGGUUGAACGGCCACAUUGGGACUGAGACACGGCCCAGACUCCUACGGGAGGCAGCAGUGGGGAAUAUUGCGCAAUGGGGGAAACCCUGACGCAGCAACGCCGCGUGAUUGAAGAAGGCCUUCGGGUUGUAAAGAUCUUUAAUCAGGGACGAAACAAAUGACGGUACCUGAAGAAUAAGCUCCGGCUAACUACGU